UUCGCAAUGCCCGAAAGGGUGACGAAGCGACGCCGCGUGGGUGAAGAAGGCCUUCGGGUUGUAAAACCCUGUCAGGAGUUAUGAAAUGUAAGUGCGCUAAUAUCGUGCUUAUUUGACAAAGGCUCCAAAGGAAGCCACGGCUAACUCUGUGCCAGCAGCCGCGGUAAUACAGAGGUGGCGAGCGUUGUUCGGAAUUAUUGGGCGUAAAGAGCACGUAGGUGGGUUUGCAAGUCAGAUGUGAAAGCCUUCUGUUCAACGGAAGAAUUGCAUCUGAAACUGCUAAUCUUGAGUAUAGGAGGGGAGAAUGGAACUUUUGGUGGAGCGGUGAAAUGCGUAGAUAUCAGAAGGAACGCCGGCGGCGAAAGCGAUUCUCUGGCCUAUUACUGACACUCAGUGUGCGAAAGCUAGGGGAGCAAACGGGAUUAGAUACCCCGGUAGUCCUAGCCGUAAACGAUGGGCACUAAGUAGA
rnacentral:rRNA from 1 species